GAUGAACGCUGGCGGCGUGCUUAACACAUGCAAGUCGAACGAAACACCUUAUUUGAUUUUCUUCGGAACUGAAGAUUUGGUGAUUGAGUGGCGGACGGGUGAGUAACGCGUGGGUAACCUGCCCUGUACAGGGGGAUAACAGUCAGAAAUGACUGCUAAUACCGCAUAAGACCACAGCACCGCAUGGUGCAGGGGUAAAAACUCCGGUGGUACAGGAUGGACCCGCGUCUGAUUAGCUGGUUGGUGAGGUAACGGCUCACCAAGGCGACGAUCAGUAGCCGGCUUGAGAGAGUGAACGGCCACAUUGGGACUGAGACACGGCCCAAACUCCUACGGGAGGCAGCAGUGGGGAAUAUUGCACAAUGGGGGAAACCCUGAUGCAGCGACGCCGCGUGAGUGAAGAAGUAUUUCGGUAUGUAAAGCCCUAUCAGCAGGGAAGAAAAUGACGGUACCUGACUAAGAAGCCCCGGCUAACUACGUG
rnacentral:rRNA from 1 species